AAGUCGUAACAAGGUUUCCGUAGGUGAACCUGCGGAAGGAUCAUUACAGAGUUCAUGCCCUCACGGGUAGACCUCCCACCCUUGUGUAUUUAUACUAUGUUGCUUUGGCAGGCUGCUGCCCCCCUCGGGGACAGCCCCAGCGCCCUCGGGCCUGGGAGUCGCCUGCCGGAGGAAAAACAAACUCUGAAUUGUUAGUGUCGUCUGAGUACUAUAUUUUAAUAGUUAAAACUUUCAACAACGGAUCUCUUGGUUCUG
rnacentral:misc_RNA from 1 species